GUAUUCUGGGGAAGCACAGCUAUGCAUUGAUCUCUAAUUUGACUCUUACACUGCCACUAUAAGAAAUAUUUUUCUGACAUUAUUUUAUUCAUUGCUUUUUCCUAGCCCUCAAUGUACACGGAGCUCUAAGAACAUUUGCAGAUCAGGUUCCACAUUAAGUGUAGAUAAUUUGACAGUGAAGAAGCCACCACCUCCUACAUCAUACGCAGCAUGCAAAAAUAAAUCAAAACAUUUGCUUGUAGAACAGGAAAUGCAAUCUCUUACCAAACCCACUGAAAAGGAUUUAAACAAAUGUGAGUGGUAUGUUGGAGAAUAUGAUCGCCAUAAAGCAGAGAAGAUCCUGUUACAGAAAAACACUGUAAGUACCAUUUAUGUCAAAACAUAGGAUGUGAACUCCUGGGGGAAAACUUCUGUAAACUGUCCACAAUGGCAUACAAGUUUUGUUGUCAACUAACCAUACAAUCUGUAAUUUAAAUCUGUAUCAUUCAGGAUGAGACAUUCUUGGUUAGAGAUUGUUCAAAGAAAUCAAAGGCUGAACCAUACGUGUUGGUUGUUUAUUAUGGAAGAAGAGUAUACAACAUUAAAGUACGAUUCCUGGAAGAGAGCCAACAAUAUGCCUUGGGAACAGGGCUCAGAGGAGAGUGUGUAAGUAAAAUCCCAUCUGCUGUUACAGCCCAUGGCUUUUAUGUUAGACUUCACAAGUUCUUAAUACUAAAUAUUAGUUACAAACUCUCCCACAUAAAAAACUUGCUGUUUCAUUAAAGUUUCUUUUACAAUACCCGAAUUUUAAGUGUUUCAAAAUUCGAGCAGCUUCAACAUAAUUUAAUACCAAAUUUUGCAUACCAUGCUGAAAUUCAUAUUUUCAUCAAUUUUAAAAUCUUCUAAGUACUUACAAUACUUCUAUCUAUUGUAAGUAACACCUGCAAACUAAAAAGGAAAGAGAAGUUCUACCUUUUCUGGUAUACAUAUUAUUUUAGCAUAUUUUUAAACUUGUGAUAAUUUAAGCAGGCAUUUUCAAAUAUAUACAGCUCCACAUAAUCUGACAGCAGGACCUAGUGCUAUGAAGCAAUAGGAUAACAGUUGUCAUGGAUAUUCAGAAGCAAUUAAAGCAUGUGGGUCCCCAGCAAUCAGUCUUUCAGAUAUGGUAAAUUUCAAUUAGAAAAUCCCUUUAGAUGAGCAAAGCUUCUUUACAUAAUUAAAUUCAAUUAUAGUCAUGAUAAAAGUCUAAUUCUUAUUCUACAUAUAUGGUUAAAUGAUAAACACUGUAUCUGCAAGUCUUUCACACAAGAAAAAAUUCAUUAAAACUGAAAGUCAACUCUAUAAAAAUGUGAUACUUGCAAAACAAAACAAAAGAACCAAACAAAGAUUUUAAAAAAGACAAACACAACGUAAAAUUUAAAGAAUGCUCAACUACAGAACAAAAAAGCAAGGCAACAAACUCCUAUGGGUCAUUAGCUAUGUAAAUCACUAACAGAAAUCCAACUCAGGUGAACCAGCAAAAACUCUGCAGCUGAAUCUUCAAUUAUAUCCUUUUCAUGCAUGUAAACACUUUUCAGAACUUACCUUUUGUAUAGUUAGACUUUAAAAAGCCUGAAAUCACAAGUGACUCAAGAUGAUUUAAGGCAUUUGAUGGGUCCAAAGUUUGUAUUAGAAUUUUUAUUAGAAAACAUGGGAUAGGAUCCAUAAGCUUUCACAAGAGGAACAAUGUUUACUGGCAAGUUGUUCUUCAGGGACAUUUGCUUAAUGAUAAAGGGGGGAAAAUCCUUCAUUAUGCAAGCACAGUGAAACAGUUUGGAAGCUGGAAGGUUGCACAAAUCAAGACCUGUACUGCAUCAUCCUGGUGCUGCUGUAGUGACCAUCAGCAUUCUGUAAAGCACUGGCUUCAUCACUUAACUGAAAUUCCCAGAUGAUUUUCCUGGAAUUUUAGUAUGACUUAGGAGAAAGCAAGUUUAGUUUUCCAGGGUUCUGACACUGUUUAGUCUUCCUGUAAUGGCUCUAAUACAAACAGGCUCAGAACAGACACAAUGACACAAAUAAGGCAUGCUACAGCAUAAUGUAGUAUAUGUUAUUCUCACUAGAGAAUAAAGACACAGAACUAAAUUUUCA
ensembl:lncRNA